AAGACAGCUGGAUGAUAGCCGGGCUGAAGACUCUGCUUGACUAGCUGAGAGGAGGUGCAUGGCCGUCGUCAGUUCGUACUGUGAAGCAUCCUGUUAAGUCAGGCAACGAGCGAGACCCACGCCAACAGUUGCCAGCAUGUCCUCCGGGAUGAUGGGGACACUGUUGGGACCGCCUCUGCUAAAGAGGAGGAAGGAAUGGGCAACGGUAGGUCAGCAUGCCCCGAAUUAUCCGGGCUACACGCGGGCUACAAUGGUCAGGACAAUGGGUAUCGACACCGAGAGGUGGAGGCAAUCUCCUAAACCUGUCCUUAGUUCGGAUUGUGGGCUGCAACUCGCCCACAUGAAGCUGGAAUCCGUAGUAAUCGCGUUUCAACAGAACGCGGUGAAUACGUCCCUGCUCCUU
rnacentral:rRNA from 1 species